rnacentral:sRNA from 1 species
GACCAAUUAAGGAGGACGUUUCAGGCUGAUCUAACUUGGGUGCAGCAGGUUUCGAACAGCCCGCAGAUCCUGAUGCAGCGUCUUCAAGGGUUGUGGAAUUUGAGGUUUCAUGUGGCAUACCUAUUUCUGUAGAGUCUCUACAACGACUGCCUCGCGAGCUUGGAAUGUGCAGCUGGCUUGAACUAGGGUGUAGAUUUGUGUCCGAAGGGAGAGGAGUAUAUGGAGCAGAAUGUGGUAUGAGUCGGACAAAGAUGGAGCACACGAACAGGAUAGCCGGCGUGCAAAUAGCCAAUAACAAUAGAAAUUGACCCGUGUUAUCUGAGAAGGCGAAUGCCGAGAGGGUUGAAAAGAAAAAGGCACUCAACCCAAAAGCAGCUAGUGGGAAGGAUGUUGAUGUACCGCGAU